UAAUAAGUUAUUUUUGUAAAAACACACGCUAUUAAAUUGGAGCUCAACCAACUCAGUUUUGAUUGGCUCGUUCAUGUUUGUACUGGUGGUUGUCUGUCUCUCUGCCCGUGCCCGUGUGUGUGUGUGUGUGUGUGUGUGUGUGUGUGUCGACAGACACCGUGGUGCUUUACAAAGUGUCCCUCCCAUUUAGCCAUUGAUGCCUGCAAUGUGUCUGUCCCCUGUUUCUGCAUAAGCCAGCAGACUUUUCUGUCGAUUGUUUUAUUUCAUGGCCUGCAUUUGUGGUUCAAUAAAACAUGUUUCAAUA